rnacentral:rRNA from 1 species
UACAGAGGUCCCGAGCGUUGUUCGGAUUCACUGGGCGUAAAGGGUGCGCAGGUGGUUUGGCAAGUUUGAUGUGAAAGCCCCGGGCUUAACCCGGGAAUGGCAUUGAAUACUGCUUGAACUGGAGGGUCGGAGGGGGGACUGGAAUUCUUGGUGUAGCAGUGAAAUGCGUAGAUAUCAAGAGGAACACCAGUGGCGAAGGCGAGUCCCUGGACGAUGCCUGACACUGAGGCACGAAAGCCAAGGGAGCAAACAGG